CCUCAAAUUUGAAAUUGCCUGGAUCUCUGAAUCCCUGAAUGGAAUGGCAGACAGCCGUCCUUGAGAGCUGCCCUGAUCUGCCUCAGACUCUUGCAUGAGUGAGAUGUAAACUUUUGUUCUGAAAAUCGUCUGAGUUACCCACAACAGAGCCUACUGUUUCCUCACAAAGGAGACUAGUUAUAAGGCAGGCAGGAUACAACUAUGUACCAUGGCAUAAAUAAAGUGCCCUUGACAGGGAAAGGGAAGAGGAAUUAGUUAUUUCUAAAGAAGUCGGGGAAUAUUCAGAAAGUAAAGAUGAGUGUGGCAGUCUGAAUGAAGCAACUAGAAAUUUAACAUUGAGAUGGCAGUCAAGGAUAGGCCCUUAGGGAAAAUUUAAGAAUUAGAUAAAGGCAAGGUAAUAGAGAAAACUGAGAAGACAGAGGGGAAAAGAGAAAACCAAAAGGAAAUGGUGAACUCAAACCCAGAAAGGAGAACAUUCCAAGUCAGAAACGGUUUAUAAAGUUGUUUCCUGGGAGAUCAUGAGAUGUCAUCUGAGAAGAGGCCAUUUGAUUUGAAAUUAUGGAAGUCUUGAAGACAAUCUAGAUCAUAGUCAUUUGAGAGAUGAAAAGGAGAAUACUGAGACCACCAUGUGGAUGAGCUAGCCUGCUGAAGAAUGAAAGGCCACAUGUGGAAAAGAAUCCAGCACCCUGGUCAAAAGCCAUACAGCCAUGAGCUGACAGCCUGUCCAUCACCAGAUAUAAGGAAGUUUGGAAGCUUGAGGAAAUUGCUUCAGAUUGAGCAGUUUGGGCUCCCACUGACAGAUGUUGGCUGCUCAUAUUGACAUAUCCUAUUGAAGGCUAAUGAAAUCUUAAUGAAAUAUUAGUUCAUUAGUACAAGUGGCUUGGAACAAAGUGGUUUUCAAUUUGGGGGCUGCACAGAAGAUCACCAGGGCAGGGAGUUGUUUUAAAACUCUAGGUGUUCUAGCCACACACCAAACCCAUUACAUUUAGAGACCCUGGAAACGGACCCAAGAAAGAAGUUGUUUUCAAAUCUCUACAAAUAAUGCCAAUAGCAGCCAAGGUUGAGAAUCAUGGACUUAAAUUCUUGGCUGAAGCUCUCUUAUGUAAAAAUAAAACAUCACUGAGAUGAUCCCUGAGCAUCCUUGCCAUGCAAGUCUGUCCUUCAUCUCCAUAAUCCUGCAUGAGAGCAUUUCCUUCACCAGUGUUCUCCUUUCACUGCUCACGAAACAACAAGGAAAAUCCAGUGAGGUCAUUUUUGCCUUAGCUUUGUGACUUUGGUGAAUACAAAUGUUCUUCAAAGUUUACAUGGCUUCAUAAGAUGUUUACCAUGUCUGCUCACCUAGUCAUUUGUCAGAGGAGAAGGAAAAACAGCUAUAAUCUGUCCAAAGAAAAGUGUGAGUCGAACAUGAAAGAUAUUACAAAAAUAAAUGUUUUAGAGGUGGGAUGAGCCUUUUUGUAAACACAAGAAAGCACCUGCUUAUUGACACCAUGCUACUGUGGAAAUUAUGUGCAAGUGUUUGCAUAAUUACAGAUCUAUAUUCCAUAUAUGUAAAGCAAAACUAUUUGCAUGAGUCAUUUGCAGAAGACUUGGAAGCCUCUCUUGCCUGAGUCCUGACAGUGCUCAGUGCUCUCUCUCUUUCCCAGAGCAGAUGUGUAAUGAGAAAUGCCAUGAUUGGCCAAAUGGGCUUUUACAGGGAGGCUCUGGGAAGAAGAAAACUUGGAGCCAGGCCCAUCCCCAUAGCACAAUCACCUGCUGUGGGCCAUUCAGUUCAUGCCAGCCAUUUUUAUCCACAGCUUUUUCUACCUCACAGGUGUGUCAUAAAAGAACUACAUAAUGUGUAAGACACUCCAUGGUGCUGUGAAACAAGUAACCAAAUAAAUAUAGGAUGUUUACCUUGCCAAAAAACAGCAUCUCAGCAUCCAACGGGAAGAUGCCAAGCCACCUGCUAAGGUCAAAUGGUUUGUGACCUGAAGCAAACUGCCUCUGCUCAAUACAAAUGGUGUAACAUCCUUGCCCCCCCAUCCAAAAUCUUCAGUGUGAUCCAUUUAUAUUCUUCUUAAAUGUAUCUGUAUAUUUAGGCCUUUUCAUCCUUAUUCAUACCUUUGCUCCACCAGCAAGAUCUUUUGCCUUUUUCUGUCCUGUCUCUCCUCCUCCCUCAAUCCUAGCUUCCACCAUUGAAAUAUAACCUGUCAUUCAAGCUCCAAUUUAAUUAAUAACAGUUACCAUUGUUUACCAUUUACUGUGUACCUGGAACUAAGCUGAAUGCUUUACAUAUUUCAUUUUUCUGAAUUCUUCCAACACAUCUACAAAGUUACUUUCAUUAAGCCAGUGUAACAAAUGACAACCAAAGCCCAGAGGUAAAAUAACUUGCUCAAGAUCACAAAGCCAGAAUUCAAACCCAGGCCUGUCUUAAUCUAAAGCUGAUAUUAUUACACACUAUAUUGCAGUCAUCCUUACCAACUUCCCAUACAAACUUUCUUGAUGACUCCACAAUACAGCAAUUUCUCCCAACCUAAACCUAGCUCCCCUCCAGAACAUAUUUUGACAUGCCUUGAUUACUGUUUCGUUUACAUUGCUAUUUGAAUUUAGAUGAGUAUAUUUAGUUUCCUUUCCUAAGUAUAUUAUAAGCCUAUUAAAGCCCCAGAACUGUUCAAAUGCUAAACUAAUGCACCUACAUUCUCCAGACACAUACAGACACUGGUCUUACUCUACAGUCUUGAGUAUAUUUUUUGUUACCCUUUUAUCACCUAGCAUAUUUUCAUGUACAGUAAUCUAACCCCACCAAUAAUUUGCUCUCAUUUGUUAAAAGUCCAAAUAUGAGGGGUUAAAUGAAAAGCAUGAGGUUGAGAGGGCCAGUAAAGGUGUGACCAGAGAUGAACAUACCUACUUCCAAGGCAUUAUGUUAUGAUUUCUAAGUUGAUAAGAACCAUCAGAACUUAAAAAAAAAAAAGAACUUAACAAAGGCAUUCCUUUUUUGUAAUUUAAGGUAUGUUUGCCAAAAUAUACUGACAUUAUACUGUAUUCUAAAUAUGUAUGAGUCAUAAUAUUUCCCAAUCAGCUAUUAAUAGUUACUAGUGUCUUCUUUGUUCAGAAUGCUUUUCAAUAUGCCAUAGCAUAAAGGUAGAAUCAAGCAUAAAAUAAAUUAGCAUAGUAUUUUACAUUUUAGGAAUAAUGAACACUAGGUCUAUGCAAACCGAUUUGAUGGAUCAAGAAAAAUGCUUAGAAAAUUCAGAAGGCAAAGCACUCUAGCCAAACAGAAAACUGAGGGUAAACUUUUAGAGCUUGAAUGAAAUAGAUAAUACUUUAAGAGGAAAGAGCAAAUUAUAUAAAUGAGUACUUAUUGAGGAAAUGAAAUAAAACCUGUUAUGAGUGAUAAAAAUAAUUGGCACCCAGGAGAUACCCCACAGGGACUUCCUGUACCAACCACAGUAUAGUUGUUUUCUUCAAAUGAAGGAUGGGUAAAGGUUACAUGUUGUGUCUUCCAGAUGAGUAUAAAGUUACUCCAAUGCUCAUUUUCCUAAUUCCAAAAUUCUUGAGUAAGAGUGCUUUUGUUUUUACUGGGAACACAAAAUGGAAUACAAAGGGAACUAAAUUAAAGUAGAGAGGUAUGCAUCUCAGGAAGAAAUGCAUUUGCUCAGACUCACCUGUGAACAAGCCUUGAGGACCCCUCAGUAGCAUACCCUGUUUGGGGUAUAAGAAUGUGAAACCACUUCAUGAUUCAGAAGUCAGGAAUGUGAAAUUUACCUUCCUUUUGGCCACAGUCUCAGUGUGGGAGUGUCAAGUGUAUUCUUCUCUUAUUUAUGAGUUUGUCUCUUGUAUAGACUGGGAUAAUACCCAUUUGCUUUCCCUCAAAAAUCUCAGGGGUGACUCAUGGCUCUUCUAUUCAGCCAGUAUGCUAAGAUACUGUGAGUAAUAAAUAAUUUCUUUUAAGCCUGCAGAAAUUUCCGUCUGCAUUUACUUAGAAUCUCAUUCGACUUUUCCUAUUUAUCAACAGCUGUGAAACUUUCAAGAAUUGUUACUGCAAGUUCUCACCAUUUCCUGGAGUCCCUAUAGCUAUAGAUUUUCUAGCCAUAUGAUCUUAAAGAGUCAACUUAUUUUUGUGAAAGCAGCUUCAGAUACGGUGUCAAAUGACCCGUGUUCAUAUUUCAGCUCUGCCUUUUGACCUUGAUUAAACCAAGUACCUCCCUAAGCCUCAGCACCUUUCUCUAUGCAAAGGGGAAAUAAUACCUGCCUGUACUUACCCACAGAAUUGUGGUGAGGCUCAAUUUGAGAAGUAUGCAAAAAUGCUGUAUAAAUCACAUCUCUAUAGCAGGAUUGUUCAUGCUAUUUUAAGUGUCUUUUAGCCCCAUCAUUUCUAUCAAACAGCAAUUACAUGCAGUUAAGGUUU